UACAGAGGGUGCGAGCGUUAAUCGGAAUUACUGGGCGUAAAGCGCACGUAGGCGGCUUUCUAAGUCAGGGGUGAAAUCCUGGAGCUCAACUCCAGAACUGCCUUUGAUACUGGAGAGCUUGAGUCCGGGAGAGGUGAGUGGAACUCCGAGUGUAGAGGUGAAAUUCGUAGAUAUUCGGAAGAACACCAGUGGCGAAGGCGGCUCACUGGCCCGGUACUGACGCUGAGGUGCGAAAGCGUGGGGAGCAAACAGG
rnacentral:rRNA from 1 species